GAUGAACGCUGGCGGCGUGCCUAAUACAUGCAAGUCGAGCGAACGGACGAGAAGCUUGCUUCUCUGAUGUUAGCGGCGGACGGGUGAGUAACACGUGGAUAACCUACCUAUAAGACUGGGAUAACUUCGGGAAACCGGAGCUAAUACCGGAUAAUAUUUUGAACCACAUGGUUCAAAAGUGAAAGACGGUCUUGCUGUCACUUAUAGAUGGAUCCGCGCUGCAUUAGCUAGUUGGUAAGGUAACGGCUUACCAAGGCAACGAUGCAUAGCCGACCUGAGAGGGUGGUCGGCCACACGGGAGCUGGACCACGGACCAGACUCCUACGGGAGGCAGCAGUAGGGAAUCUUCCGCAAUGGGCGAAAGCCUGACGGAGCAACGCCGCGUGAGUGAUGAAGGUCUUCGGAUCGUAAAACUCUGUUAUUAGGGAAGAACAUAUGUGUAAGUAACUGUGCACAUCUUGACGGUACCUAAUCAGAAAGCCACGGCUAACUACGUG
rnacentral:rRNA from 1 species